GAAACUGGAUUUAUACAAUCAAACCUAUGAUCGGAGACCAUCUGGUGAUAAAUGUUUAUUUUAUGGCGAAACUGCUUCCCUUGAUGGCGAUAUGGAGUUAAAUAUUCCUCGCUACAGCCAACUUACUGCUUGUCAGACAGUUAGUGUCAGUUCUGAACAUUUGGAUGUACUUAAUAACGACAUUAUAAUAACCAGUAAUAACCUGAAACUCAUGGAGACUAUUGGCAAAGGUGAAUAUGGUUUAGUUUAUAAAGGACAACUUAUGAUGAAGAGCAAGUCAAGAAUUGUAGCAGUGAAAA